rnacentral:rRNA from 1 species
AACGCGAAGAACCUUACCUGGGUUUGACAUCCUUGGACAGUUGUAGAAAUACGAUUUUCCCGCAAGGGACCAAGAGACAGGUGCUGCAUGGCUGUCGUCAGCUCGUGUCGUGAGAUGUUGGGUUAAGUCCCGCAACGAGCGCAACCCAUGUCCUGAGUUGCCACCAUUAAGUUGGGCACUUUCGGGAGACUGCCGAUGAUAAAUCGGAGGAAGGUGUGGAUGACGUCAAGUCCUCAUGGCCCUUACAUCCAGGGCUACACACGUACUACAAUGGCCGAAACAAAGCGAAGCGAAGCCGAGAGGUGGAGCCAAUCGCAAAAACACGGUCUCAGUUCGGAUUGUGGUCUGCAACUCGACCACAUGAAGUUGGAAUCGCUAGUAAUCGCAGAUCAGCAGGCUGCGGUGAAUACGUUCCCGGGCCUUGUACACACCGCACGA